rnacentral:rRNA from 1 species
GAUGAACGCUGGCGGCGUGCCUAAUACAUGCAAGUCGAGCGAACGGACGAGAAGCUUGCUUUUCUGAUGUUAGCGGCGGACGGGUGAGUAACACGUGGAUAACCUACCUAUAAGACUGGGAUAACUUCGGGAAACCGGAGCUAAUACCGGAUAAUAUUUUGAACCUCAUGGUUCAAAAGUGAAAGACGGUCUUGCUGUCACUUAUAGAUGGAUCCGCGCUGCAUUAUCUAGUUGGUAAGGUAACGGCUUACCAAGGCAACGAUGCAUAGCCGACCUGAGAGGGUGAUCGGCCACACUGGAACUGAGACACGGUCCAGACUCCUAAGGGAGGCAGCAGUAGGGAAUCUUGCGCAAUGGGAGAAAGCCUGACGGAGAAAAGCCGCGUGAGUGAUGAAGGUCUUAGGAUCGUAAAAAUCUGUUAUUAGGGAAGAACAUAUGUGUAAGUAACUGUGCACAUCUUGACGGUACCUAAUCAGAAAGCCACGGCUAACUACGUG